ensembl:lncRNA
ACAGAGAGAGAGAGAGACAGAGAGAGAGAGGUAUGGAUGUGGUAUACAACAAGGAGAGAGAGAGAGGUAUGGAUGUGGUAUACAACAGGGAGAGAGAGAGAGAGAGAGAGGUAUGGAUGUGGUAUACAACAGGGAGAGAGAGAGAGAGAGAGAGAGAGAGGUAUGGAUGUGGUAUACAACAGGGAGAGAGAGAGAGAGAGAGGUAUGGAUGCAGUGUACAACAAGGAGAGAGAGAGAGGGGGGGGUAUUGAUGCAGGGGUACAUCACAAGACAGAAACACUGUCGGGUGUGUGUGUGUGUGUGUGUUGGGGGAUACAUGCAAAUCAUCCAUAUAGAAGUGCAGAGAUGCAUUUGACUCGAGGGGAUGGUUCCUGUAUCUGUGUUGCAAGAAAUAUUUAACAGCAA